GGUUAAGCGACUAAGCGUACACGGUGGAUGCCCUGGCAGUCAGAGGCGAUGAAGGACGUGCUAAUCUGCGAUAAGCGUCGGUAAGGUGAUAUGAACCGUUAUAACCGGCGAUUUCCGAAUGGGGAAACCCAGUGUGAUUCGUCACACUAUCAUUAACUGAAUCCAUAGGUUAAUGAGGCGAACCGGGGGAACUGAAACAUCUAAGUACCCCGAGGAAAAGAAAUCAACCGAGAUUCCCCCAGUAGCGGCGAGCGAACGGGGAGGAGCCCAGAGCCUGAAUCAGUGUGUGUGUUAGUGGAAGCGUCUGGAAAGGCGCGCGAUACAGGGUGACAGCCCCGUACACAAAAAUGCACAUGCUGUGAGCUCGAUGAGUAGGGCGGGACACGUGGUAUCCUGUCUGAAUAUGGGGGGACCAUCCUCCAAGGCUAAAUACUCCUGACUGACCGAUAGUGAACCAGUACCGUGAGGGAAAGGCGAAAAGAACCCCGGCGAGGGGAGUGAAAAAGAACCUGAAACCGUGUACGUACAAGCAGUGGGAGCCUCUUUAUGGGGUGACUGCGUACCUUUUGUAUAAUGGGUCAGCGACUUAUAUUCUGUAGCAAGGUUAACCGAAUAGGGGAGCCGAAGGGAAACCGAGUCUUAACUGGGCGUUAAGUUGCAGGGUAUAGACCCGAAACCCGGUGAUCUAGCCAUGGGCAGGUUGAAGGUUGGGUAACACUAACUGGAGGACCGAACCGACUAAUGUUGAAAAAUUAGCGGAUGACUUGUGGCUGGGGGUGAAAGGCCAAUCAAACCGGGAGAUAGCUGGUUCUCCCCGAAAGCUAUUUAGGUAGCGCCUCGUGAAUUCAUCUCCGGGGGUAGAGCACUGUUUCGGCAAGGGGGUCAUCCCGACUUACCAACCCGAUGCAAACUGCGAAUACCGGAGAAUGUUAUCACGGGAGACACACGGCGGGUGCUAACGUCCGUCGUGAAGAGGGAAACAACCCAGACCGCCAGCUAAGGUCCCAAAGUCAUGGUUAAGUGGGAAACGAUGUGGGAAGGCCCAGACAGCCAGGAUGUUGGCUUAGAAGCAGCCAUCAUUUAAAGAAAGCGUAAUAGCUCACUGGUCGAGUCGGCCUGCGCGGAAGAUGUAACGGGGCUAAACCAUGCACCGAAGCUGCGGCAGCGACACUAUGUGUUGUUGGGUAGGGGAGCGUUCUGUAAGCCUGUGAAGGUGUGCUGUGAGGCAUGCUGGAGGUAUCAGAAGUGCGAAUGCUGACAUAAGUAACGAUAAAGCGGGUGAAAAGCCCGCUCGCCGGAAGACCAAGGGUUCCUGUCCAACGUUAAUCGGGGCAGGGUGAGUCGACCCCUAAGGCGAGGCCGAAAGGCGUAGUCGAUGGGAAACAGGUUAAUAUUCCUGUACUUGGUGUUACUGCGAAGGGGGGACGGAGAAGGCUAUGUUGGCCGGGCGACGGUUGUCCCGGUUUAAGCGUGUAGGCUGGUUUUCCAGGCAAAUCCGGAAAAUCAAGGCUGAGGCGUGAUGACGAGGCACUACGGUGCUGAAGCAACAAAUGCCCUGCUUCCAGGAAAAGCCUCUAAGCAUCAGGUAACAUCAAAUCGUACCCCAAACCGACACAGGUGGUCAGGUAGAGAAUACCAAGGCGCUUGAGAGAACUCGGGUGAAGGAACUAGGCAAAAUGGUGCCGUAACUUCGGGAGAAGGCACGCUGAUAUGUAGGUGAAGCGACUUGCUCGUGGAGCUGAAAUCAGUCGAAGAUACCAGCUGGCUGCAACUGUUUAUUAAAAACACAGCACUGUGCAAACACGAAAGUGGACGUAUACGGUGUGACGCCUGCCCGGUGCCGGAAGGUUAAUUGAUGGGGUCAGCGCAAGCGAAGCUCUUGAUCGAAGCCCCGGUAAACGGCGGCCGUAACUAUAACGGUCCUAAGGUAGCGAAAUUCCUUGUCGGGUAAGUUCCGACCUGCACGAAUGGCGUAAUGAUGGCCAGGCUGUCUCCACCCGAGACUCAGUGAAAUUGAACUCGCUGUGAAGAUGCAGUGUACCCGCGGCAAGACGGAAAGACCCCGUGAACCUUUACUAUAGCUUGACACUGAACAUUGAGCCUUGAUGUGUAGGAUAGGUGGGAGGCUUAGAAGUGUGGACGCCAGUCUGCAUGGAGCCGACCUUGAAAUACCACCCUUUAAUGUUUGAUGUUCUAACGUUGACCCGUGAUCCGGGUUGCGGACAGUGUCUGGUGGGUAGUUUGACUGGGGCGGUCUCCUCCUAAAGAGUAACGGAGGAGCACGAAGGUUGGCUAAUCCUGGUCGGACAUCAGGAGGUUAGUGCAAUGGCAUAAGCCAGCUUGACUGCGAGCGUGACGGCGCGAGCAGGUGCGAAAGCAGGUCAUAGUGAUCCGGUGGUUCUGAAUGGAAGGGCCAUCGCUCAACGGAUAAAAGGUACUCCGGGGAUAACAGGCUGAUACCGCCCAAGAGUUCAUAUCGACGGCGGUGUUUGGCACCUCGAUGUCGGCUCAUCACAUCCUGGGGCUGAAGUAGGUCCCAAGGGUAUGGCUGUUCGCCAUUUAAAGUGGUACGCGAGCUGGGUUUAGAACGUCGUGAGACAGUUCGGUCCCUAUCUGCCGUGGGCGCUGGAGAACUGAGGGGGGCUGCUCCUAGUACGAGAGGACCGGAGUGGACGCAUCACUGGUGUUCGGGUUGUCAUGCCAAUGGCACUGCCCGGUAGCUAAAUGCGGAAGAGAUAAGUGCUGAAAGCAUCUAAGCACGAAACUUGCCCCGAGAUGAGUUCUCCCUGACUCCUUGAGAGUCCUGAAGGAACGUUGAAGACGACGACGUUGAUAGGCCGGGUGUGUAAGCGCAGCGAUGCGUUGAGCUAACCGGUACUAAUGAACCGUGAGGCUUAACCUU
rnacentral:rRNA from 1 species